rnacentral:rRNA from 1 species
UACAGAGGGGGCAAGCGUUGUUCGGAAUUACUGGGCGUAAAGGCGCGUAGGCGGCCUGCUAAGUCGAACGUGAAAUCCCUGGGCUCAACCCAGGAACUGCGUCCGAUACUGGUUGGCUUGAAUCCGGGAGAGGGAUGUGGAAUUCCAGGUGUAGCGGUGAAAUGCGUAGAUAUCUGGAGGAACACCGGUGGCGAAGGCGACAUCCUGGACCGGUAUUGACGCUGAGGCGCGAAAGCCAGGGGAGCAAACGGG